rnacentral:rRNA from 1 species
GUGGGGAAUAUUGGACAAUGGGCGAAAGCCUGAUCCAGCCAUGCCGCGUGUGUGAAGAAGGUCUUCGGAUUGUAAAGCACUUUAAGUUGGGAGGAAGGGCAGUAAGUUAAUACCUUGCUGUUUUGACGUUACCGACAGAAUAAGCACCGGCUAACUUCGUGCCAGCAGCCGCGGUAAUACGAAGGGUGCAAGCGUUAAUCGGAAUUACUGGGCGUCAAGCGCGCGUAGGUGGUUUUGUAAGUUGGAGGUGAAAUCCCCGGGCUCAACCUGGGAACUGCCUCCAAAACUGCAUGACUAGAGUACGGUAGAGGGUAGUGGAAUUUCCUGUGUAGCGUUGAAAUGCGUAGAUAUAGGAAGGAACACCAGUGGCGAAGGCGACUACCUGGACUGAUACUGACACUGAGGUGCGAAAGCGUGGGGAGCAAACAGGAUUAGAAACCCUAGUAGUCC